rnacentral:rRNA from 1 species
CAGCUUGCUGGGCCAAUACUGACGCUGAUGCACGAAAGCGUGGGGAUCGAACAGGAUUAGAUACCCUGGUAGUCCACGCCGUAAACGAUGAUCACUCGCUGUUAGCGAUAUACAGUUAGCGGCUAAGCAAAAGCAUUAAGUGAUCCACCUGGGGAGUACGGCCGCAAGGCUGAAACUCAAAGGAAUUGACGGGGGCCCGCACAAGCGGAGGAACAUGUGGUUUAAUUCGAUGAUACGCGAGGAACCUUACCUGGGCUUAAAUGUAGAGUGCAUGAGGUAGAAAUACUUCUUUUCUUCGGAACUCUCUGCAAGGUGCUGCAUGGUUGUCGUCAGCUCGUGCCGUGAGGUGUCGGGUUAAGUCCCAUAACGAGCGCAACCCUUAUCGUUAGUUGCCAGCGGGUAAUGCCGGGGACUCUAGCGAAACUGCCGGUGUAAACCGAGAGGAAGGUGGGGAUGACGUCAAAUCAGCACGGCCCUUAUGUCCAGGGCUACACACGUGUUACAAUGGCCGGUACAGAGGGCAGCUACCUGGAGACAGGAUGCG